rnacentral:lncRNA from 1 species
GGAUAUCCACCGGAUAUUACAAUUUUUAAAAGGAUAUCUGACGCCCAAAUAUCCGAAAACCCCGGAUCCGGAUAAAUAUAGUAAAAUUAUGAAUCCACUAGAUAAAGAUCCUGAUCCGAAUAACUUGACUUCGGGAGUUCUCUGUCUUCUUCUCCGUUCUCACACUUCUAUCCUUCACGGAGAAGGAGAUGAGACACUUAUUGUAAAAAAUCUUUUUUUGUUGUAAAAUCUUCGAUCGUGAGAUCGAAUCUCUUCUUCGCUAGGCGAAUUUGAUUUUCGUUUUGACAAUUUUUGUUGUGUUAUUUCAAACCAAAUCAUCAUGUGCUUCAAGAUCUCUGUUCUUACUGAAUUGGUUUGAACCAAUAAAGUCCCGAUCUUCUAUCGGUGUUUGAAUCAGAGCGGUCCUUUCUUUAUUUUUAUUUUUAUUCCGUUUGGUUUUAAAAGAGUUAGUCUCUCUAUGUUAGAAAAGCUUGGUCCUUGAAGCUGUAGAGGAAUCAAUCUUCGCUAAUAAUGAGUGGAGUCUCCUUGAAGAUCAAGGCCUGAGAUGUGUAUAAGCUAGGAGGAUUGCGACGCAGAUCCAGAUGAGACGGAGCUUCCAUUAGAAAGCGUUCCGGCAAGGCUCUUUACUCGUUCUUCUCUGAAGCUUCUCUUGGAACAGAAAUCUAGUAAGGGAUGAUCUGGUAGAAUCGACGGCAACAAGAAGAAAGAAGAGCAUACAAGCAGUUUAAACGAAGCGGGGACGGAGUCCGACGUUGAGUCCGGCAGAGCUCCGGCAACGCUUUCUUUCUCCUCGUUUCAGCACGAGACGAAGCCACGUGGUGCAACGUGUCGAACAUGCGACAAAGCGUAUCUUGUUAUUUUGGUUUUCGUUAUGGGCUUAAAAUGUAUCUUGGGUUUGGUGUGCUUGUAAUACAAUGCUCAUUGGGCUUAUGAAUGAAAUUCUAAUGUUAAAAAAAAAAAAGAAGUAAAUAUAAACGAAAGGCAUCUCGAAGUAUAAGUAUAACCGAACCUAGUUUUACAAUAUUCAAAUAGUUACG